CAGUCGAGCGGAACGACACUAACAAUCCUUCGGGUGCGUUAAUGGGCGUCGAGCGGCGGACGGGUGAGUAAUGCCUAGGAAAUUGCCUUGAUGUGGGGGAUAACCAUUGGAAACGAUGGCUAAUACCGCAUAAUGCCUACGGGCCAAAGAGGGGGACCUUCGGGCCUCUCGCGUCAAGAUAUGCCUAGGUGGGAUUAGCUAGUUGGUGAGGUAAUGGCUCACCAAGGCGACGAUCCCUAGCUGGUCUGAGAGGAUGAUCAGCCACACUGGAACUGAGACACGGUCCAGACUCCUACGGGAGGCAGCAGUGGGGAAUAUUGCACAAUGGGCGAAAGCCUGAUGCAGCCAUGCCGCGUGUAUGAAGAAGGCCUUCGGGUUGUAAAGUACUUUCAGUUGUGAGGAAGGGGGUAGUGUUAAUAGCGCUAUCUCUUGACGUUAGCAACAGAAGAAGCACCGGCUAACUCCGUGCCAGCAGCCGCGGUAAUACGGAGGGUGCGAGCGUUAAUCGGAAUUACUGGGCGUA
rnacentral:rRNA from 1 species